CUUAGUAGGGGCGACCGAAAAGGGAUGAGCCCAGCGCAGAACCUCCCGGGCCACCCGGCCUGCGGCGGAAUGUUGCGUAAAGGGAAAGGUCGCUUAUAAACCUUUCAGCCGCGAGAGCUCUAAGAAAGGCACGAAUGGCUGCUCCACGUAAAAGUGGACGAGUCUCCAUGGAGGGUGUAAGACCCGUAUGAGCUCGCGUCAAGCUGAACAGGCAAGGCCUUUUUCCCUGAGAGUCGCGUUGCUCGGUAAUGCAGCGCUAAGCAGGUCGUAAACUCGAUCUAAGGCUAAAUAUUUCCACAGGACCGAUAGCGAACAAGUACCGUGAGGGAAAGUUUAAAAGGACUCUGAAGAGAGAGUUAAAAGACCGUGAAACCGCUCAGAGUAUAAGCCAAUGGUACUGGAACGGCAGUUGCGAUGAGCAUGGUCUAGGCCCGCUGCUCGUGAAAGCAAUGCCCGUGGUCUUGGUUCGGGUGUGUCGUUUUUUGCUUUCGGGCGGAUUGCGGCGCAUUCGUUUCAAUGUGCCAUCGGGCGCGCUUUCUCACGCAUUACACGCUGCCCGCCACGACACGUUGUGAGGUCACCCACAGGCUCGGCUUUAACGCGUCGAUUGCGCGCCAUCAGGAAAUUUGUGCCGUCAACAAAAAUCACUGAGCACCUCCGUGUGCUCUGGGCAUGACAUUUCUCUGUGGCCGGGCGACGUCUAGGUCUUUUUAAGACCUUGGUCGAGACAUAAACCUGGUAUGAUCCUCCUGCGACGAGUCGAUUUCUGGACAAUGCAGCCUGACUGGCUUAGCGCUGCUCAUGUGCCGAGCAGUGUGAAGCGGCUUGUGCCUCCGAAUGCUCUCACGAGUGUUCGUGCCUCCGCACGUCAGUCUUGGGCUAGCGUGGCGUUAUCAGUCCGGUGCCAUCGGUCACGUCUCGAAACACGGACCAAGGAGUGCAGCAUGUGCGCGAGUCUAAGGGUGCCAUAAAACCCGGAGGCGCAUUGAAAGAGAGUCAAUUUUUGCUCUUUUUUGGCAAGAGUCGAUCCCUAUUCCUGGACAAUUGGUUUUAGGUGGGGCGCAGACUCCGGGCCCGCAUCGCGCUCUUCGGAGUGCACGCGGGCACCGUGGAGCGCACAUGCUGUGACCCGAAAGAUAGUGAACUAUGCCUGGUGAGGGCGAAGCCCCACGAAAGUGGGGUGGAGGCCCGUAGCCGUUGUGACGUGCAAAUCCAUGGCGCCAAUUGGGCAUAGGGGCGAAAGACCAAUCGAAC
rnacentral:rRNA from 1 species